rfam:Ciona savignyi cont_31376, whole genome shotgun sequence.
UCCUCGUUAGUAUAGUGGUGAGUAUCGCCGCCUGUCACGCGGGAGACCGGGGUUCGAUUCCCCGACGGGGAG